CACGUAGGGUGCGAGCGUUGUCCGGAAUUAUUGGGCGUAAAGAGCUCGUAGGCGGUGUGUCGCGUCGGCCGUGAAAACCUGCAGCUUAACUGUGGGCGUGCGGUCGAUACGGGCAUCACUGGAGUUCGGCAGGGGAGACUGGAAUGCCUGGUGUAGCGGUGAAAUGCGCAGAUAUCAGGAGGAACACCGGUGGCGAAGGCGGGUCUCUGGGCCGAUACUGACGCUGAGGAGCGAAAGCGUGGGGAUCAAACAGG
rnacentral:rRNA from 1 species